rnacentral:rRNA from 1 species
CAUUAGCGUAUAUUAAAGUUGUUGCAGUUAAAAAGCUCGUAGUUGGAUUUCAGUAUGGGCCAGUUGGUCGGCCGCAAGGCCUGUACUGACUGGUCUGUUCUUCUUCUCAAAGACUGCAUGUGCUCUUCGCUGAGUGUGUGUAGGAUUUGGGACGUUUACUUUGAAAAAAUUAGAGUGUUCAAGGCAGGCAUGUUGAGCUUGAAUACAUGAGCAUGGAAUAAUGGAAUAGGACCUCGGUCUCUAUUUCGUUGGUUUUGUAGACCGAAGUAAUGAUUAAGAGGGACAGUUGGGGGCAUCCGUAUUUCGUAGUCAGAGGUGAAAUUCUUGGAUCUGCGAAAGACGAACAACUGCGAAAGCAUUUGCCAAGAGUGUUUUCAUUAA